AUGACCUUCAUCUGCCCACAGGCACAGCCGAGGACCCCACGCCCUCGAGCAGCCUUUGGGGGGGGGGGGUCUGUGCUGCAUCACUGGCGGCUCAGAGCCAGCCCCCGCCACCCGGAGCUCCCAUGCCUGGGCUGGGGAACCGGGCAGCUCCCUGCGGCUUCCUGCCCCGCCCACUCGGUCUCUUCUGUACCACAGGAGACAUCCCAGGUGGCAGGGGUCAAGCCCCAAGUGAGAGCCGUGACCUGCCAGCCACGCCUUGCCUGGACCCCGUUUAGCACUGCACUGGGCCACGUACCUGUGUGUGCACCGCAGCCUCCCCGGCCUCCUGGAGCAGUGGGCCGCGGCCUGGCCCCCGUGGGUGUGCAGGGGCUGCCACAGUCACGCCCUCCCCAAGUCCCGGGGCUGAGCUGCGGUGAACCCGGGAGCCCAGGCCGGCAGGGCGGGCUUCUGCGGCUGCUCCUGAGGCCAAGAGCUGUUCUGAGAGCCAGACCCCGCCCCGGAAGCCGGAGUGGUGGUGGUGGGGUCCGCACGGCGCUCCCCAGCCCAGAGCUACUUCCUGUCUCGCCCCCUGAAGGUGACCUCCCUGGACACAGCCCACACGCCCGUCCAUGGGUGAGGGGACACACUGCAGUCCAUCCACACUCCAGGCUGCUGCCCGGCCACAGGAGUGUGUGUGGCAAGGUCCGUGCUGCAGCGUGGCUGGACCACAAACCACGAGAACAGGAGCCAGACGCAGGCUCCGCUGGCCGGAAGUGCGGGCCAGGCAGGUCUGCAGGGACAGCAAGCAGACCCGGGCCAGGGCCGCAGGAAUGGGCUGCGGUAACGCGAGGGCGGACUCUGCCCGGCUCAGUGCCGCCCCAGGACGCUCAUGCUCCACGCAGUGCCCCUCCGCGGAAAGUAAGUGCCCCCGAUCGCCGCAGCCUGGCCGACACUCCACGGGGCUCGUGUGCCCACAGGCCGUCCACGGACCAGCGUGCGUCAAACCCUGUUGGCAACAGAAACUUCGCAAGCAGCCGGCCGUGGGCUUCCCUUGGAAAACUGGACUGGACUUCCCGGCCAUCACUUCAGCCGCGAGUGAGACACAAAGGGGCAGGACUUCUGGAAUCACAAUUUUUUAAAGAUUUUUUUAUUUCUUUGAAAGGCAAAAUUAAAGAGAGGGAGAGAGAAAAAGAGCUGGCUCUUCCACGUGCUGGUUCCCUCCCUCCACGGCGGGAACGGCCUGCGGCUGGGCCAGGCUGA
rnacentral:lncRNA from 1 species